GUCUUACUUGUUUUUUGGAUCUCUGGUGCUCUGACAGCUCCCAGCCUCGCACCGAACCCCAGGGCCAGCCUGGCAGGGUGGGCACUUGCCCCCCGAGCCCCUUUCUGAGCGUGCCUGUGGUGCCCUCACCCCACGUUGGCUGCAUGACACAGGCUCUCUGUGACUCAGGAGUCUGAAUGUUACUUCAUAUGGCAACAGCCAUGUUUUGUUUCUUUCUUUCUUUAUUUUUAAUAGGCACUUUGAUGGGGGGGGUUGGAGGAGGGAGAGUUUAAAUAGAGUUUGCAAGGUUAUUCCUUGCCUGAGGCUGAGCUGUGCGCAAUCGUCACGUCUAACUGGGAUUUUUCCGUUUGUCUUUGGGCUCCUGUUGCUGAGCCGGGGUGACCUUGGCAGCACUGGCUGCAGCAGCUCUCCCUUGGCUACCCCAGUUCUGCUUCCCCAACCCAUUGCUGCCAAAGUGCCACCGAGGACUCCAGCAGAAACCAGUGCUGCCCGGCCAGUAGGUCCCAUGCACCCCACACACCCCAGCAGACGAGCUGCCUGGUUACGAGGUGACAGCAUCAGAGCUCCUUCCUGGUGGGAUGGUUGGUCCUGUCUUCAUCUCAUAGGUCACAUGGGUACUUGAGAGGAGUCUUCACCUCUGCUGGUCAUCAAACCUUGGUCAAAACGCAGCGCAGCACACGGAGCAACUGGGAAGAGUUUGAUCCAUGCACACUUGGGAAAUGUGAGUGCGUACGGGCUGCGCUGGCAAGGGAACAACUCAGGAGGCAACAGGCUCAGCAUCACUGCAGCUGCAGGAGGGGUGAGAGAGCGUCUGUGCUGAGCAGAGAUAAAGGACAGAUCCAUCACUGGCAGCUCUGUGCUGAGCCCCCACCAGCUUGGAGUUUGCAUUUCCAGGCUCAGAGACACAAUCAUUAGUAGACAAACUGGUCAGAUGCUUCGUCUGGGAAGUCAUUUUAAGUUCUUACUUGCUUUUUUUUUCUUUUUCUCUUCUCUCCUAAACCAGCAACAUCUCCUUGAGCUUUUGAAGCUAAAGACAGCACCCGAGCAGUACUCACCCCUUCCCUGCCACACAGAUCAGCUGGUUUGGUUUUGGGGGUCUGUUUGUAGCAUCACCAAACCCGAGGCUGGAUCUGGCCAGCCACAAAUGUGGUGCUGGACACCAAGUUGGUGACAGAUGCUCAAGUUCUCAUGCUCAUAAAUUAUGUAGGGCUGCAACCACCUUCCAGGCUAUGAAGCAUCUGCUUCAGCUGCCAUCCCUCAGCCCCAGAGACCUUCUUUCCAGCACAGCGUGGGCAGAACCACGUGGUCUGGAUAUCCCAAACCUAAUGCAUGGAGCCAGCCAUGACAGGGCACAGGCUCUUGCUUGCAGUAACACCUCCAAACAGCUGUCCCACCUCUCACCCACCCCAUUCUUCUUGUAUCCAACCGUCUCCAUUGGCAAAGCAUGCCACGACAAUUCUCAUGUGAGAAGAAGGUUUCUAACCAUGGGGGUUGUGCAACCCUGGAGUUGGCUUCCACAGGAGAAGUCACACUGAGAAUUUUAAAAUGGAAGAUGAUGUUUUUCUGAAGGGGACAAUAGGACAUAUUGUUCAGGAGAUCGUGGCCAGGGGAUUCUUCCAGUCCUCCAAGUUCCUGCUCCUACAGGGACCUUCUAAAAUCUCAGAGAGACAUUUGUGGUGGAGGUAAAAGCAUCUCUCACAAACCAUUUCUGGCAACAUGAAAGUUUCUAACACAGAGGCUUUUUGCAGCACCAUUUGGGGCUCUGGAUCUUUUCGUUCACCGACCACCACCAAACAAACGGAAAUGUAUUACACAAGUCCCAGAUGGCAUCUUUUUAACCAAAAUAACCAGAAGGAAAAAAAUCCAAAUCCUAUCUUCUUUUCCAUGUGCCUGUAUUUUGUUUACAUGAAAACUGCUCCAAAAUACAAAGUCACCAGGGUCUAAGCUAAACAUUAUUCAUUCCUGGAGCUGUAAUUAGGGGGAAAUGAUUGCCUGACCCCACAAAAUUACAUCAGCAGUGCAUGGACGCUUGCGUGUUCAUGGGAAAUGGCACUUCCUGCAGCACUGGAUUAAUCGAGAAGUGUCUCAACGAGAAGGUUCGGUUUCUUCCUCAAUCCUCUGUAUCAGUUACCCCACAGGAGGGUGAAACAGCAUCUGUGCUAACGAGAGAUAAGCAGAAGAUCCAACGCACACAGCGCUGGGCUGAGAUGCUCGUCCCAGGUCCCAGAGGGGCCCCGUUUCACAUUUCCAGACUCGUCCCUCUGCAAAUGGCAGGGAAUUAGAUCAACCUUGAAAACUCGACUCACGGCAGCUCGAAUCUGCAAGCAGAAAGCAUUAAACUCGAGUCCCUUUCCUGUCCAGGGAUGAUAAAUUCCUGUUCGAUUUAAGAGCAUGACCUCGUUGUGGGCUGUCUGCAAGCGCCCUGCGCCGCAGCAGACGCUAAGUAUAGCCUUAGUAAAAGCAGUGUGGAGGUAUUUGUUUUCAAGACUAACACGUGCAUCAACCAGAACCUUUCUUGUGAGGGACAUAAGCAAACCCCAGGUGGUUCGGGCUGACAUGUAGCUGCUAGAAAUGCAAAUUGCUAGUGCCGGCGUGGUGCAGGGAAUGCAUUCCCAAGGAAAGGCUUCAGCGCCCGGUGCAGGGUCAGGUCACAGCUGGGAGGAGCAGCCUGACUCAGCAGAAGGCUCUUUAGGAUGAACAAAAACCAAAUUUGCAGUAAAGCGGGAGGUGAGCAGAGGUCAGGCAGACAGAUCUGUGCUCUGAUCGCUCUGGGCUGUGCCUUUCAGUGCUGCUGAGGCAGAGGAACAAGCCCGGCCAGGGACUGCUGCACCUCGCAUGACUUUUGCCAACAGCCCCAGCAGAAACGUUGCAAAAUGGAUUUCUUCCAGCCUUUUCCCAGCGUAAGAUCUGGCAGAGAACAAGCCAUCUUCUCUGGAUAGCAGCAAACCCCCUAGGAUCCCUGCUCUGCUCAUGCUGUACGGAGUUCCAGAAAAAAAAGGGGGAAGAGAAAAGAAAGGACCAAAGCUGCCGGGCUGCUCCCGUGCAGCCGGAGGAUCCCGGGAGCGCUGAGCUGGCAUGGGGAAGAUGCCAAUGCUCCACGCUCACUGCGGCCUGACAGCUCUUGCUCUCCAAAGCGAUGACACCAUCUCCUGCCCAGGGCACUCACCAAACGGCUGGCCCAACAGCAGGGUUUUACGAGGCUCCAACUACAGUGUCCCAAGGAGAAAAGCAAACGGGCUCCUGGCUGGGCCAUGAGGAUGACUUUUGAAGCCAGUGUUAAACCCUGUGCAGCUCAGCACAGCACCACGUGGGCAGCGGUGCAUACGGAGGGCAGCAGCCCAUCCCUGUGCCCCCUGGGAUCAAAGCACUCAUCCCUGGCAGGGCUGGGGUUGGAGCAGCUGGAGAUGCCUGCAGCCUGUGCUUGAAGGGAGACAGGUACUGGCCUAAAGCAUCCGGGAUUCCCUGGCAGAGCAACACCGACCAUCACAGCAGUAGCCCCUCUAGGGCUUCUGGGUCCUGUCUGAGCCAGCGGGAGGCUGCAGACAGUGAUUUAGCGGGAGCCAGCCCCCCUCAGACCAGGCUUUGCCACCUGACACAGCUCUGCCCCAUGACCCCAAGCUGUGGCCAUUCCCUGCUCGCCAUCCAUCAGCCCCAGCACCUGCAACGUCUUUGCUGAUGUGCUCCCCUCCCAGUCCUUCUCCCAUCACCAGACAGCGGGUCCUCAUCGUGCAGCUCUAUGAUCACAGAUCAGUUUUCAUUCAAACACAACCCCCCCCAUCCAUGGCUGCUCCACCCCAACCACCUGAUCAUGCAAUCCCACAGCGUGCUCCCAUCCUGAGGUCUCUCACCAUCCUGUCCCCUAAUUGCUGUCCCCAUCCUGUCCUCACCUUCACCCCUUACCCCAAGCAGGCAAUGGCCCACCUUAAGAAGGCUGAGCUCAAGGGGCUCCACAGCAGAACUGCACAGCUGGAGAGGAAACCAAAGAUGGAGGGGGAGCUGGGGAGAGGUUUGAUUCUUGACCUGUGCCUGUUUCUUCCAUCAUAUCUGGGAUACAGCCUGGACUGUGAGGAGGAGGAGGGAGGAAGGGGGAAGAUGGGCAAUGACAUUUACACAUCCCUCUUCUUCCACUAGUUCAUGCUGAGAGCAAGUCAAUCACCCCCUGUACCACUGGCUUACCUAUCCCUGGGAUGCUCCUGAGACUCCAAGAAGCUUGGGAAGGUCAAGGAAUACUGAAAUAUAUUACCGUGUUGAGGAGGGAGUAUCGUCAGAAUAAGUUAAUGGUUUGUACUGUGUUUUGGCACCACGGCCCCGAGUACAGCAGGAUCUUCCAUCAUGGGGGAGCUGCCAAGAUCUUCACAUCCUGGCUUUCCUCCUGACUUUAUAGCUUGUUACUGAGGUUCCCAGAUUCCACCACGUGCAAUGGUAAUCCUGGGAAAUUUGUCAUCGCCACAAUUGCAUCCGAAAGCAGGGAUGUCAUUUAGCCAAGGUAUAUUGAGUUUCUAACAGGGAGAAAACAUCAACCCUUGGCAACCGCUGGAUCACCAUUUGGAUAAUAAGUAUCAAGAGAGUGUAUGUCUGUGAUCCAAAUCUAAAAUGUUUUUCACUGAGACGCGCAAAAGGCAAUAUCACAUUUGUCCCUUGCAUCUACAAAGGAUGAGGCAAGGGGAUAGGAGUGAUGCAGAGCAAGGGACUGAACCUCCCAUGCUGAGGCAGUGACAUGGACCAGAAAUCACUGACUGAGAUGAGCCUGGAAGGGAGGUCAAGCAUAUUUUGGCAUCUCCUGUGCUACAAGUGCUUUCAGUCUUUCCCUGGGAGCGUGAAAUGGCAAGGCACUCCUUCCUUCCCCC